CCUGGUGGCUAAUGGCGAAGGAUCAAACGCUCCAUCCCAUCCCGAACUGGAAAGCGAAAGUCUUCUGCGGCAAUGGUACUACAUUUUAAAAUGUGGGAGAGUAGCACACUGCCAGGC
rnacentral:rRNA from 1 species